UAGGGAAUCUUCCGCAAUGGGCGAAAGCCUGACGGAGCAACGCCGCGUGAGUGAUGAAGGUCUUCGGAUCGUAAAACUCUGUUAUUAGGGAAGAACAAAUGUGUAAGUAACUAUGCACGUCUUGACGGUACCUAAUCAGAAAGCCACGGCUAACUACGUGCCAGCAGCCGCGGUAAUACGUAGGUGGCAAGCGUUAUCCGGAAUUAUUGGGCGUAAAGCGCGCGUAGGCGGUUUUUUAAGUCUGAUGUGAAAGCCCACGGCUCAACCGUGGAGGGUCAUUAGAAACUGGAAAACUUGAGUGCAGAAGAGGAAAGUGGAAUUCCAUGUGUAGCGGUGAAAUGCGCAGAGAUAUGGAGGAACACCAGUGGCGAAGGCGACUUUCUGGUCUGUAACUGACGCUGAUGUGCGAAAGCGUGGGAAUCAAACAGG
rnacentral:rRNA from 1 species